ensembl:lncRNA
UAAAUAUUUUCCUGUCUUGUAAUCAACAUCAGAGAAGGUGUGUUUGAAGAGGAGCAUGGAUUAUAUAGCUAGAUAUCUACUCUACUGGUGGCAACAUUUGAUUGUAGGGUGUCAGCCAAUAUAAUUGAAAGUUUACCCUAUUCAUCUAAUGCAAAUAUACUUGUAGGUUUCCCCUUUCAUAUGUGUCUGAUGUUAGCUAGUUACUGGCUAGCUAGGUCUUCAUCUGUGUCUGAUGUUAGCUAGUUACUGGCUAGCCAGGUCUUCAUAUGUGUCUGAUGUUAGCUAGUUACUGGCUAGCCAGGUCUUCAUAUGUGUCUGGUGUUAGCUAGUUACUGGCUAGCCAGGUCUUCAGCCAGCAUGGAACAAAAUGGGGGGAAAAGGUCAUUCAAAACUCAGUUGCAGUUGUCAUGUCAACACAUCAGUCAGGGCUGCUGUGAACCACAUCACAAGAGACAUGUCAAACGGGAGAUGCAUAAAACAUUAUUGACAUAAUUGAAGCAAUUUCAAUGUUGUUUGAGUUGCUUUGUGUGUCACCACAUUAGCUUGACAUGAUCUGCUGACUGCAUCCAACUUGCUUGACAUAGGCGUUUCAAAGAGCUGUCAGUCAAGGAGAACUCAUGAACAUAUGAGUAUGUUCCCCGCCCACUAAACCUGUCUGUUCAAACUUCCUGGUAGUUAGCCAGAGAGAGAAAAAAAAAAAAAAAAAUUAAAAAAUUAAAAAAUUAAAAAUUGUGAGCAUUUCUAUCCAGAACAAAGAUUAUGACUGACAUUUUAGUCACUCAAAAUACUAUUUUACAUAGGAAUCAAAAUGACUGUUUGGGACUUUUAAAGGAAAUUAAAUAUGCUUCUAUGCCUCGGUUAAAAUAUUGAUAAAAUAUUGAAAGGAAUAUGAGUCUUAUUUAGUACAUUUAGUUAUUGCUUGUUUUUCAAAAGUCUGCCAACCUUGCCAGUAGGCAUGCCAGCUGAGAGAGGUAGCUGCUCUAACUGGAAUGGCUUGUUGGCUGCUAAUUAUGAAGGAUUGAACACUGAGAAUCUAG